AGUAACACGUGGAUAACCUACCUAUAAGACUGGGAUAACUUCGGGAAACCGGAGCUAAUACCGGAUAAUAUUUUGAACCGCAUGAUUCAAAAGUGGAAGACGGUCUUGCUGUCACUUAUAGAUGGAUCCGCGCUGCAUUAGCUAGUUGGUAAGGUAACGGCUUACCAAGGCAACGAUGCAUAGCCGACCUGAGAGGGUGAUCGGCCACACUGGAACUGAGACACGGUCCAG
rnacentral:rRNA from 1 species